rnacentral:rRNA from 1 species
CCUACGGGUGGCACCAGUGGGGAAUAUUGCACAAUGGGCGCAAGCCUGAUGCAGCCAUGCCGCGUGUGUGAAGAAGGCCUUCGGGUUGUAAAGCACUUUCAGUUGGGAGGAAGGCGUUGAUGCUAAUAUCAUCAGCGAUUGACGUUACCAACAGAAGAAGCACCGGCUAACUCCGUGCCAGCAGCCGCGGUAAUACGGAGGGUGCAAGCGUUAAUCGGAAUUACUGGGCGUAAAGCGCACGCAGGCGGUUGAUUAAGUUAGAUGUGAAAUCCCCGGGCUUAACCUGGGAAUGGCAUCUAAGACUGGUCAGCUAGAGUCUUGUAGAGGGGGGUAGAAUUCCAUGUGUAGCGGUGAAAUGCGUAGAGAUGUGGAGGAAUACCGGUGGCGAAGGCAGCCCCCUGGACAAAGACUGACGCUCAGGUGCGAAAGCGUGGGGAGCAAACAGGAUUAGAUACCCGUGUAGUC